CAAAAACAUCGCCUCCCGCAAAAAUCAACGUAUAGGAGGUCCUGCCUGCCCAGUGACAAUAAGUUAAACGGCCGCGGUAUCUUGACCGUGCAAAGGUAGCGCAAUCACUUGUCUUUUAAAUGAAGACCUGUAUGAAUGGUGGAACGAGGGCUUAACUGUCUCCCUCUUCCAGUCAAUGAAAUUGAUCCACCCGUGCAGAAGCGGGUAUAACAUUACAAGACGAGAAGACCCUUUGGAGCUUAAGAUAAAAGACCAACUAUGUUAAAAGUCCUAAAAAAGACUAAACUAAAUAGAACUGGUCCCAAUCUUCGGUUGGGGCGACCACGGGAGAAAACAAAGCUCCCAUGCGGACUGGGGUAAUCCCCUAAAACUAAGAAAGACAUUUCUAAGUCACAGAACAUCUGACCAAAAAGAUCCGGCUACAUGCCGACCAACGGACUAAGUUACCCUAGGGAUAACAGCGCAAUCCCCUUCCAGAGUCCAUAUCGACAAGGGGGUUUACGACCUCGAUGUUGGAUCAGGACAUCCUAAUGGUGCAGCCGCUAUUAAGGGUUC
rnacentral:rRNA from 1 species